AUGGUCGUACCGGAAAAGGAAAAAAUGACGUGCCCAGGAGAGAGGAUCUUAACUUUAAAAACAUUGCUUUUUUUCUAGACCCCGUUCCUUCGGAUCAGACCCUUUCUGGGAGGUUUUUCUAUUUUUCGAUUUCUUUUUUAUUGUAUUUAUUGGGGUGACAUACAGCGCAGACCACCUCUAGCUGCGGGGAGUUCCCUGUUUAAGCGCACAGGUCCCGCAGGUCCGGGGGCCAAAGCGCGCAGUCCGCCCGGUACCGGCGCGGGCGCGGGGGGCGGGCGAGGGCGUUGCGCACGGUCACCGUCUCCGACUGCAAGUUAUGAGCUGUGGUAACCGCACCAGCUUCCUCCACCCGACGGCAACCCCCGCCAGAGAAAGUGUGAAACGCGGCGUCGUGCAAACUUGACCCAGAAUCAAGCCCGGGAGUGACGGCGAUGAGGAAUAUUGGCACUCUCUUCUCUCACUUUGGAAUCUUGGAUUUGAAGUUAAGAAGGGACAAGUGCUACAACCCCUAGAUGAUUGGGAACAGGCUGGAAGGCAAACGAUCCCAUCCAAGACACCACAUCAAAUUUAAUCAUCACACUAUGUUUGGGUGUUAACCAGACCCACUGAACAGUGAACCAGUGCAAAAUGAUGGCACUCUGGCUGCUGCUGUUGCUCUUAAGCAUCCUGGAAUACAUUCUCUAAGAUCUCUUUACCACCAAAGAUGCAAAUUAAGACCAGCAGGCAGCUGAUAUUUACUGGAAAAAAGCAAUGAGCAGAACCACAGGAACGCCGGCUGAGUGGAAGUCCUACAACUAGGAGGAAAGAGAAACGCAUACGGACACUCAGAGGAGGCACAGUGCUGAAGUCAAAUUCUGAGAAAUAAAAAAAUGGAAUGACCAAGUUCAAGGGAGGGGCAUGUUUAUGGAACUACGACACUUAGUACUCAUUGUACGCUUAUCUUCCCACCAGGGCUAUAUGACCAGUUUUACUACAGCUACUCCCGGAUAUUCAAGUUUAUUUUUUCGUCUCUGGUGGGUAUAAAAUGGCAUACUGUGAGAUUGCUUUGUGCUUAAUUAAUAGUAAGGAGGAGUGCUAUAAUAUGUGAAUUGUCUACUAUUUGUUCAUUGUUCUUUUUUUUUUGUUGUUCUUUUUUUGUUCAUUGUUCUUAUCCACUUUACUUAAAUGUAAUGUAUUCAUAACAAAUUUAAAUGGGCCCUUUGCAUAUCACAGAUGUUAUUCCUAUCAUAUGUGAUUCAAAAAGCUGUAAUUAUUACCCUUUAAAUGUUUUUAUCAUCAUACAAAGAAUUUUAAAUGUUAGACAUUAAAAUGUCAAACUUCUA